UGUCUGUUCUGGUACAAACAAAUUCAGUGCAGUCUUUACGUGUAAUUCUUUUUCUUAUCUAAAAUGUCCCCAUACUAUAAUUCACUACCAAAAUACAUACCAGCAGAGGGAAGAUUUUUUUUUAGUCUGUACUCUUAUAUCAUGCACAUUUGCUUCACUUUGGAAAAGUGAAAAUCAAAGAGCUACCUCUCCUCUCUCCAGACAAACAUGUAUUUCAUGAAAGUUUGACAACAUACUGUAAUACCUAAAUUAUAAUGAACACAGGCUGCACAAAAAUAAAAUGUUAGUACCAUUUGUUGAGAUGACAAUGUUUUCUGUUUAAGUAAGUAAACAUAACUGAAGAUUGGAAUUAUGCAGAAUUGUGAGUAGCCUUAUCAGGAAUAUUUAACCUUUUUUAAAAUUUUUAUCUGUUGAUUUGCAGCUCUUUUUUUUUUUUUUGUUAGUUAUCUCUUCACUAAUUUUUGUGUCCAAAAGUCCUUGCGUACCAAAUGGAGAACAAAGCUGUGAACAUGAUAUGCUAACGAGACAUACAAGAACAUAUUGGAGAGUCCAUUGAAGGCCACAAAGUUGAUUGAGGUUCUUCUACCAGGUAACAAGUGACAGGACAAGAGGAAAUAGCCUCAAGUUGCUCCAGGGGAUGCAUUGGAUAUUUUGAAGAAUUUCUUCACUGAAGGGCCAGACAGCUGGGGAGCAGUGACACAGUGAGGUCCAGGAGUUGAAGCAAAAUAUUCUUUAAAGCAGGGCUUGACACAUAAAGGGAUAGAAUCCUCAAGCUCUUUCAGGUGGAUUUUCAGUUACUCUGGAACCAGAGCUGCUAUACACUGCACUGUCCUUGUGCCAUCAAAAGAAGCUUCAGCCCUCUGUCUGGAGACAUUUUUCUCAUGGGGUCACUUGUAUCCUCAUUUCAAGCCAAGAAAUGGAGGAUUUUGGAAUGUGGUAGAUGAGUUAUAUCUUUGUGGAGAAAACAGGAGGGCCUGAGAUUAGGUUUGAAAGAAGAAGCAAUUAUUUAACAAACUGAUGAGCUCUUGGAUCUCUGAUUUUUUGAAAGUUCGUGGAAUUGUGGCAAGAGUUCUUCUGUCCCAAAUGUGUCUGAAAAUUACUCAUCUGAUUCAUAUCUUAGGAUAUUCUCACAGUAAAAACUACAAACACCUCCAAAAGGAGGUUAUAGAGGCAGCAUGAUGAAGUGACAAACACAGCUACCAAAGAGGAAAACUGUUCUUAAAAGGUCCCAUCUUGGCAGCACACUGCUUUAGGGCUUGAGGGACUAAGUUAUGAGGAACUGAACAGUCCUUGCUCUCUAGAAAGAUCUUGGGAGUCUGUACUGAGUAAAAAUACUGGUUAAGUCACAAGAGCAUAUUUG